AGUGAACGCUGGCGGUAGGCCUAACACAUGCAAGUCGAACGGCAGCACAGUAAGAGCUUGCUCUUACGGGUGGCGAGUGGCGGACGGGUGGGGAAUACAUCGGAAUCUACUUUUUCGUGGGGGAUAACGUAGGGAAACUUACGCUAAUACCGCAUACGACCUACGGGUGAAAGCAGGGGAUCUUCGGACCUUGCGCGAUUGAAUGAGCCGAUGUCGGAUUAGCUAGUUGGCGGGGUAAAGGCCCACCAAGGCGACGAUCCGUAGCUGGUCUGAGAGGAUGAUCAGCCACACUGGAACUGAGACACGGUCCAGACUCCUACGGGAGGCAGCAGUGGGGAAUAUUGGACAAUGGGCGCAAGCCUGAUCCAGCCAUACCGCGUGGGUGAAGAAGGCCUUCGGGUUGUAAAGCCCUUUUGUUGGGAAAGAAAAGCAGCAGGUUAAUACCCCGCUGUUCUGACGGUACCCAAAGAAUAAGCGCCGGCUAACUUCGUG
rnacentral:rRNA from 1 species